UUAUGAACAAACCAGCAAGGAAUAUCAAUGCCGUGCUUAGGAUCUUUUCUGAAAUCCUUCUGCCAGCCCCUGAAAGGGAAAAUACAGUCAUCACCUCCCAGGACACAUGGACCUAACACCUACUACCACUGGUACCUUGGCUCACUCUCCUCAGGCCUCACAGUGCAUACCAAGACUGAGAAGACAAAGACAACUCCUGAACUGUCUAGGUUAGUGCUAGGAUAAAGAAGAUUUGCUUCUGAUUGUGUUAGUGAUACCAUCAGUCUGGCUAUCAUAAUAAAAAAAAUAAGCAUGCUGCAUAAGUAACAGUUUUGCUCUGGUGCUCUUUCUGUUGCAGUGCCAUACUUUGAGAAGGUAGUAAUUUUGUUCCAGGUACACAAUGAAAAUGUAAAUGAGGAAGAGGAGAUGCUGCCCAUUUCUUUUCUACAUUUCCUUUUGCACAGGUGUACAUGAUUCUGUAAUAGAUAAAUCUCAUGAAAAAUAUACCUGCUGACAGGGCAAAAUGUACCUAUUCUAUAAAUAUCACAAUUUCCAUUUCUUAAAGUGGAGAUUGUUUACAGCACAUUAUUAUGUCUUGUUUGAAAGACUACACACUAUGUCGAAAGUUACUCUUUAAAUACUUGCAAGACACUGUUGCAUUAAGUACAAUACCAAAUCUAGUUUUACCUUAGUCAUAGUAACAGAAAAUCAGUGAAAAUUCUUCACUUACUUAUCCCAAGCAGAGGAGUUUAUGAAUAAUCAUUCCGCAGUUAUACAACAAAGUAGAGAGCAGAAUCCAGCAGGACGUGGAUCAGUUUCUUUUGUAUUCAGACAACAAAUCUUAAAAGUAUAUUAUUGAUCAACAGUAAAAGAAGUGUAGCGAGUAACACAGGAGCCUGAUAUUCUUCCUGUAAGCCUUACCCUUCUUGUUGCAAGGUGACUGAGUCAAGCCAGGUGAAACCUGUUUUUUCAUUGCCAUUCUGAAUUGUGAUCUUCUCAGGAGUUACUGUCAGUUUUAAAUCCAGGUGCUUAUUUGCAAUGCCAAGUUUUCCAAAAUAUGUGUUUUGGAUCUUUGCAUCACUAUUUGCUCUCUUAUCACCAAUGAGUUCUCCAUUGAUUGUGAUGCCUAAUGUAAAAGGGAAACAUCAAGUAUUGAUUAACAGAUAGGACCUGAUCAACUGAUGUCAAGGAGCCUCAUCGAAAUUUAACAACUCAAGGAAACAAAUAGAAGUUGAAAAAUAGAUCAGAAUUACUUGUUGAUGUUUGUGUCCAAGUAGAAUAAAGCUCUGGGGGCUGUUCUGUGGAUCUCCACAAAGACAACAAUCACUUUACUGAGAAAAGUUGAAUAUCUCCGAGAGCACGAGUCCAUUAUGGGCACAAAUAGCCUGUGUGAUAUCAGUCUCUUUUUACCAGGUAUUCCAUGAAAUGGCAACCUAAGGAUUAUUUUAUUGCUGGUACUACUACUCACUGAGACAAAUUAUGUCUCUCAACUCUCACAGUGCUUUUCCAACAAAGUCUGAAAGUUCAUUUUGCUCCAAGAACUGAGAACAGUCACGGUAAUGGUACCCUGUCACAGCUACAGGAACACCUACUAACUUUGCUAAGUAUAAAAGAAAGAAAUGGCCUUUAAACAGAAGACAUCUUGUUAUAAGUAUCCUGAUUUACUGUAUUUAAAAAAUUUAACAACUUACCUGUAACUGGAUCAUUUAUUAACUUUAACACAGCACCUGGGUUUUCAUUGAUAUUGAAACAAAUGGCAUCUUCUUUUUGUGGCACCGAUACAAUGAAGUGUGGAUCUCCAUCAACUGUAAAGGUAAAUCACUGGCAUUUUGUAUCGUGAUACACAGCUUCAAAGUUCUGCAUGAAGAGUUAACAUUGUGGCAAUGGAACUGCUGAUGCUGGGGAAGAGCAGGAACUGGUCCCUGCACAAGCUGUAUGCCCAGCUUAGUCCAGCCCAUCCUUCAAAGGAGUGGUGGGGUCCCGAGGAAGCUGCUACCACCUCCCCAAAGGGGAGGAUGUCCUUUUUCCCUCAUCUUUCCCAGGCACAUGACAUACAUCCUGUGUCUCUUGUCCACUGCAAAAUUUGGCACAUGGAUUUGUAGGUUCAGGAUGGCCACCUCUAAGUGCUUAUCUCUGAGGGCCAUGAAAGUAUUACUGAGGGCAGGAAGUUAAUCUGAAUAGAGAAUGGGCAGUUACCAACACAAAGCCUAGCAAUGGGAAGGAGGACUGAGAAAAUGACCAUAUAUAAUCUCAGUGACUUGAUAUUUAAAAGUCAUUUAGAGUGUUUAAAGCAAAUUAGAAUACUAGCCUCUUGGAAAUAAAAAAUGGCUGCUUUUGUGGAAGGGACUUAUCUAAAAGACUCAUAAGACUUGUGCAAUUUAGUCUUAAAUACCCUCUUCUGUUCUCCUAAGCAGACAGUACUCAAACUACUCACCACUUGUGUACCAUGUGGGGUGUGCUGUAUAUAGGUAAGAUAGGGGUGGGGCUGCAGAGACUAAAGAAAAAAAAAAUGUUAGAAAAACGCUCAUCAAAAUGGAAUAUUUACACACUAUCUGCAGAGUAUAUGGAAGAUGUCGGGGAGUUAAUAUGAUAGGUAAAUUGCUAAUUCCAUCCUCGUUUUUAAAGAACAUAGUCCAUGGAAUGAAAGUUCGUGCCCAUUUUGAAUCAAGCAAAGCUUCAGGAUAGAGACAGAUUUCACUUACAGUCUAAAUUGCUUUCAUGGUUUCCACGAGGCCCAAGUAAUGUAGCUAUAUGACACAAAUAUCUCACACUUAAGGAUUAAGCUAUCAGCAAGGAAAUGCAAAAUCACCCAUUGAAAACUUCUGAGGUUUUUGACAUUUGUUUAUCUUCCAGAAUGAAUGCAAGUCUUUUCAGUAAAGACUUGAGAAAACUAGACAGAGACAGAGAGCUUGAGAGAGAGAGGCUGAGACUAAUCUCCAGAGCAAAGACUUAAAUCUAACUCUCCCAUUUCCAGGAUUGCCCAACCAGCAAUCUGAAGGGUCAGUUGCUGUCUCUCUUUCUUGAAUAAAGCGGUUUCUUUUUGUAUAAGUAACUGAACAUAUUAAUUUAGCCAGAGAUGGCUAUGAUGACAUCGUAGUCCCUUGCUUUAUAUAAUUCCAAAGGAGGUGUAAAUUCAAGUCCAUCCUCUGUUCUUGGGAAACAGCUUUCAGGAA